rnacentral:rRNA from 1 species
CAAACGACUCUCGGCAACGGAUAUCUCGGCUCUCGCAUCGAUGAAGAACGUAGCGAAAUGCGAUNNNNNGUGUGAAUUGCAGAAUCCCGUGAAUCAUCGAGUCUUUGAACGCAAGUUGCGCCCGAAGCCAUUAGGCCGAGGGCACGUCUGCCUGGGCGUCACGC